CGGGACACGUGGUAUCCUGUCUGAAUAUGGGGGGACCAUCCUCCAAGGCUAAAUACUCCUGACUGACCGAUAGUGAACCAGUACCGUGAGGGAAAGGCGAAAAGAACCCCGGCGAGGGGAGUGAAAAAGAACCUGAAACCGUGUACGUACAAGCAGUGGGAGCACGCUUAGGCGUGUGACUGCGUACCUUUUGUAUAAUGGGUCAGCGACUUAUAUUCUGUAGCAAGGUUAACCGAAUAGGGGAGCCGAAGGGAAACCGAGUCUUAACUGGGCGUUAAGUUGCAGGGUAUAGACCCGAAACCCGGUGAUCUAGCCAUGGGCAGGUUGAAGGUUGGGUAACACUAACUGGAGGACCGAACCGACUAAUGUUGAAAAAUUAGCGGAUGACUUGUGGCUGGGGGUGAAAGGCCAAUCAAACCGGGAGAUAGCUGGUUCUCCCCGAAAGCUAUUUAGGUAGCGCCUCGUGAAUUCAUCUCCGGGGGUAGAGCACUGUUUCGGCAAGGGGGUCAUCCCGACUUACCAACCCGAUGCAAACUGCGAAUACCGGAGAAUGUUAUCACGGGAGACACACGGCGGGUGCUAACGUCCGUCGUGAAGAGGGAAACAACCCAGACCGCCAGCUAAGGUCCCAAAGUCAUGGUUAAGUGGGAAACGAUGUGGGAAGGCCCAGACAGCCAGGAUGUUGGCUUAGAAGCAGCCAUCAUUUAAAGAAAGCGUAAUAGCUCACUGGUCGAGUCGGCCUGCGCGGAAGAUGUAACGGGGCUAAACCAUGCACCGAAGCUGCGGCAGCGACGCUUAUGCGUUGUUGGGUAGGGGAGCGUUCUGUAAGCCUGUGAAGGUGUACUGUGAGGUAUGCUGGAGGUAUCAGAAGUGCGAAUGCUGACAUAAGUAACGAUAAAGCGGGUGAAAAGCCCGCUCGCCGGAAGACCAAGGGUUCCUGUCCAACGUUAAUCGGGGCAGGGUGAGUCGACCCCUAAGGCGAGGCCGAAAGGCGUAGUCGAUGGGAAACAGGUUAAUAUUCCUGUACUUGGUGUUACUGCGAAGGGGGGACGGAGAAGGCUAUGUUGGCCGGGCGACGGUUGUCCCGGUUUAAGCGUGUAGGCUGGUUUUCCAGGCAAAUCCGGAAAAUCAAGGCUGAGGCGUGAUGACGAGGCACUACGGUGCUGAAGCAACAAAUGCCCUGCUUCCAGGAAAAGCCUCUAAGCAUCAGGUAACAUCAAAUCGUACCCCAAACCGACACAGGUGGUCAGGUAGAGAAUACCAAGGCGCUUGAGAGAACUCGGGUGAAGGAACUAGGCAAAAUGGUGCCGUAACUUCGGGAGAAGGCACGCUGAUAUGUAGGUGAAGUCCCUCGCGGAUGGAGCUGAAAUCAGUCGAAGAUACCAGCUGGCUGCAACUGUUUAUUAAAAACACAGCACUGUGCAAACACGAAAGUGGACGUAUACGGUGUGACGCCUGCCCGGUGCCGGAAGGUUAAUUGAUGGGGUUAGCGCAAGCGAAGCUCUUGAUCGAAGCCCCGGUAAACGGCGGCCGUAACUAUAACGGUCCUAAGGUAGCGAAAUUCCUUGUCGGGUAAGUUCCGACCUGCACGAAUGGCGUAAUGAUGGCCAGGCUGUCUCCACCCGAGACUCAGUGAAAUUGAACUCGCUGU
rnacentral:rRNA from 1 species